UUUUGAUGAACAUAUCAUUAGAAUCCAAUGGUGCAAUACUUUGAUUUAAAUCCUUAAUUUGGCUAUAGUAAUCCAAGGAGCUUGAGAUUACCUAGACUUUUCUUAAUUGUUGAAAUGGCUAGAGAAGCUCAUAACAAUUUCCUUAGUCAAAGUCACUAAUUCCAAAUAGCAUGUAAUUAGUGAAAGUCAACUAGCAUUAAGAACCAAAAAGUCACCAAAUCCAAGAGGGGUCAAAUGCUUUCACCACCAUGUUGGAGGAAAUGUUUUUAUGAUUGUGUGAAGCAAAAACAACACAAAAAUCAUUUGUUGCUUGCUAAUUUGAGGAUCCUUUACUUAAUCAAGAAAUUAGCCAACUAAUCACCACAAACACAUUUAAACUCAUGAACUAAAACAUACAAGUAGUGAUAAGAUGUUAAAACACAAAACAUUCCCAUAAAGAUUUAAGAACAUGUUCAUGGAUUCUUCAACAUUCAACAAAAGUUCAAAGGAUUAACCAAAAGUCAACCAAGAUUAGUUUAGCCAAGCAUGGCUAAACCCAAAGAAACAAAGUUAGAGAAAAUUGUACCAAACAUUAAGCAAGAAUCAAGAGGUAAAAAUAUGAUGUUCUUCAAGUGUUCUUGGCCUUCAAAAGUCUUCAAAACUCCAGAGAGAAUCUCCAAAAAUCGGAUGUCCAAGAGUCUCCAAAAGAUGGGCACCAACCUUCCUCAAAUAGCUCAAAAGAAGAAUUUCCGAAACUGCCCCUGCAGGAGGUUGCGCGACCCGCGUGCUGUUGCGCGGGUGGGUUGCGCGGGUGGUCCCUGGAUGUAACAUCUUUGAGGUUUUGGGCCUCCAUAGCUUAGCCCACUUAGCCCAGAUCGAAUCCAAUCACCUCCUAGCCCAUUUUCUUCAAGUUUUUCUUCAUUUUAAGCCCAAUUUGACCUCUCCAAAUCCUCCAAAGCUCGUGCACUCUCCCGAUUAAAAAUCUACGUAUGCUUGAAUAAACUCCCGCAUCUUGCAAAUUUAAAGUUUAUUUCUCUCCAAGCCUUCAAAUAACCAUCAAGCUCGCUCCAUGCAUAAUCUCCACAAUCACCAAGCCUAACAUCAUUUUUGUCUACCAAAUCUCAUCGCUUCCCAUACGUCCCGAACACUCCCGCUCCGCUAGACCCGAAAACCUGCAAUUAUGCUCACAAGAUUCGAAAGUACCCGAAAUAGUCAUAAAAUAACAAAAGGGAAAAUAUGCAUGGAAAUUAUCUAAAUUAUGAAUGAAAUAUGCUAAAAUAAACUAUAAAAAGAAGUAAACAAAACUAACUAUCAAAUCACCCCAAGCUUAAACCUUACUUGUCCUCAAGUAAGACAAGACUAAAAUGAACUUGGGAUGAACUAUCCUAGAGAAAAUAAAAAGAAUGGAUAGAGCCGCAGAACCUGAUCACCGUUAGUCAACAUGGUCAAAAUUGAUCUUGCUAUUACCUCACGAAUUUUUCAUCCGAUGACAAUGGUACCAUAAACCACAGCCAGGAUAACUCCUUUAGGUGAGUAAGGAGGGAUGAGCAGUCGCAGCCUCAAUGGAACAUGCAUACAAUGAAGAAUAUCUGUAGUAGGGAGAAAGCAGCUGGAUGGGCUCGGGUGGAGCUCUUCUUUAAGUGUACACUCUGAUCUCACGUUUGCCGGUUUCUCUCAUGUGUAACUAGGUUUAAUCGCUCGGGCACCGUUGUAGGAAUCGGAUCACUUGGUGUUGGCCCAAACCUCCCGUAGUAUCUGACUCGACAGUCUCCCUAACAUCACCAAUUUGCGAAAAACAACUCGAUCUAUAUACAAUAAAACAUACCUAAAUAAAUGAAUAUCAAACGCCGGGUGACCAAAAUGUUGGAAGAUUUAGUUCAAUAAUUGAACCGGUCACCCUUCUCAGAUUUCUGCAGCUGGGAAUUUGCCUGCCCCCUUUCUUUUUUUUUUUUUUUUUUUGUUAUACUUGAAGGUAAUGUAAUAACAACCCUUUGACUCAAAAUUUGGUUCCUAAAGUGUGUAAGUGGAACCGAAAGGGUAGUAAUAUAAUCCGAAUGGUCUAAGCGAGAAAAUGACCAUGUGUGGAGCAUAAAGAUAUAAUGUAAGCUCCUUUUCAAAUUUGUGAAUUUUUUUUUUCAAAAAUAAUGAAAAUGUCCACAUGCGGACUAAAAGACUUCUCUAAAAUCCUAAGAAAAUCGCAAAAAGAUAUGGUGAUGUAAAGAGACCGGAUAUGGAUUCUACUCGGGGACAAGCACUAGUGCUUCAUCCUAACGGUUCAAACAUGAUCAAGUGUGAUCCUCUCGGCGGUAGUGACCGCAAGGCUAAGACAUCCAUUGCUAUAGUAUAUCCUACAGUCAUUAGUAUUGUAUGCAUAAUUCUUCAUGAAAACUACCUGUCCAUGAUCACUUACCCCUUUAAGCUACCAGCAUCUGAUCCCAAGUAUGAGAUCCCAAACUGCAGCUAAUGGUCCCGGUUCGAUGGGUGAGAUAACAACAAGAUCCUGGACCAAUAAUGAUACAAUAACUGUGAACCUAUUCCAUGGCAUCCAGGGGUGAGAAUAAACAGACAACAAAAAUGCAUGAAUGUUAAUGCCUAAGCUAAAUGUUAUGCAAAAAUAUAAAAGGUGAAAAAGAAAAAUAAAAUUUUUUUGGAUUUAAAAAAAAUGAAUGAAAAUUAGCUUAAAUCUAAAAUGUUAUGCAACCUAAUUAAAAAUGCAUGGAAAAAAAAUAUAAAAGGAAAAUGAAAUGCCCCACCCCAAGCUUAAGAACAAGCAUUGUCCUCAAUGCUUAAGGUAAGGGCAAAAAUGACCUAAAUCGGAGGAUUGGAUGACGGGAGAUGUCUUUGGCGGUGGUUUCGUGAAAUUACGACCAGUAGAACUCCGACAAUCUUGAAUUUUCCGGCGAGGUGGGUGCUGGAAGGUUAUAUGAGAGGAAUGGAGUGGGAGGUCAAGAUGAUUAAAUGAAGAAGAAGGGAAGCUGAACAUUUUAAUCUAUGGGUCAAAAAGGGUCAAUUUCGGUCAAUGUUGGUCAAGAAAAGUCAAAAGGUCAACUCAUUAAAACCUUUGGUCAACACCUGGUCAAAUAAUAGCCAAAAAUAGCCCAAAUUGCCCAGCACAGUGCGCGGGUCGCGCAGAGUAGCACGCGGGUCGCGCAGACCUUGCAGUUAAGUCUUGGGCCAAUGUCGCUUCAUCACACAUGGCCGCGCAACCCACCCGCGCAACAGCACGCGCGUCGCGCAACCUCCUGAUCCUGAUCUUCAUUUUUGCUUCAUUUUUCUUCGUUUUUCACCCGUUCUUGCUUUGGAAGGCCCCAAACACCUAGAAACUCUUGAUUUCUUAAAAAACAACUCUUUUGAAUCCCAAAAACAUCUUCAAAACUCAUUUAUUCAAAUUAAAAACACGAAAACACAAUGCUUUCCAAAAAUGCCCUUCUUUAACGUCUUUGGCGAGACGCCUCCAAACUUCACUUUAACACUUUGGGGCGUCCAAAUGGACGACAUCUUGGACAUUUGAAUCAAAACCUUCAUUGAAUGGCUUCAAUCGAUGUCCAUUAACCUUGCAAAUUUGCCCCGUGUCUACAUUUUUUAAUUUCCACACCUCCAUUGGGACUCUUUUCUUGUAUUUGACUUUCUUUUUACGGGAGAACCAUACCGGACUCAGACCUUUGAUAAUAGCAAUCAUCCAACCAUAUUCUCUCUUGUACUUGUUCAGUAAGGUGACCAACUCUUCCCUCUUUGACAUGGUGGUUGAGUAGGUGACCGGUUGGGCGUCUUCUUUCUCGGGAUAGGUAUCCUUUGAAGGGUCCGGCAGAUUUAUCGUUUCCGGAUCUUGUGGUUGUUCUGCCACUAGAGUUAGUUUCUCAUUGGUAGUGGGUGGCUCAAUAUCUCUUUCGUUAACCCCUAUUACUUCGUUUACAGUUUCAUUGACAACAUUCUCAAUUUCUUCUUCCUCUUUGACAACUUCUUCCACUUCUACUUCUUCUUCCUCUUCUUCAUAUAACACUCUUGGGCCAUCAAAAGUUUUCUCAUCUUUCAAAGGAAUGCAACAUGCGUUAUGACAUGGGUUCUCUUGAGAUGGUAAUUUGUGUUGAGCUUCCACUAUACUCAAUGAUUGAGCAAUUUGUGUUAUUUGUUGCUCUAAGCUUUUGAGGCUAGCUUGAGUUGUUUCCUGGAAAAUUUGGGUAGAAGUGGCAAUGCUUUUCACAAUGUCCUCUAAGGACAUGCUUGGCGUUUCAGUUUGUUGAGGAGGGUAAGGAUAGGGUUCUUGGAACAGUGGAGUUGGUUGGUAUUGGUUAUUUCCCCAUGUUUGGUAUGGGUUUUGGUAAUGGUUAUUUCCCCAAACUUGGUUGUUGUCCCACCAUUGAUCAUGUUGAGGCUGAUCAUAACUCCAUUGGUUUGACCGGUAGUAGCUUCCUUUCUCUUGCACUUCUUCCCAUUCUCCUUGUAAAUAUGGACACAUGUCGGAAUGAUGUCCAUUUUGGGCGCAAAAAUCACAAAGAAGAGGUGUGGGCUGCACACUUUGGUCACUUUCAAUCAUCAUAACUAACUGAGCUAGCUCAGAAAGUUGGUCUUCGGUGCAAGGAGUGUUCAUUUCCAAAUCAUAUUUUUUUUUUUAAUUUCGGGGUUUUAAAUUAGAGUACCUGCACAAUGAGAUGUAGGCAUAGAGAAACAAACUGAUUAAAUCAAAACCAAUCCCCGGCAACGGCGCCAAAAAUUUGGUGGUUGUCGAGGCCAACACAAAUAAUAACCCUAAAUAUUACACACUAAAAUAGUGUAUAGUGGUAAAGGGAUCGAAUCCACGGAGAUUGGUUCAAUUUAUAACUCUAUGAAAAAUCUCUUUGUAAAAAUACUUGUAAAAUGACAAUAAAAAUAAAAUGGGGGGUUUUGGUGUUUUGAAAUACUUGAAACAAACUAGAAUUAACUAUGAUUUAAAUAGACAAAUGCAACAAAAAUAAGAGUUUGAUGUAAAAUCAAUAAGGGAGAGAUGGUUGACUUAAAGUUUCCUCACUUUGACUUUUGAUGAACAUAUCAUUAGAAUCCAAUGGUGCAAUACUUUGAUUUAAAUCCUUAAUUUGGCUAUAGUAAUCCAAGGAGCUUGAGAUUACCUAGACUUUUCUUAAUUGUUGAAAUGGCUAGAGAAGCUCAUAACAAUUUCCUUAGUCAAAGUCACUAAUUCCAAAUAGCAUGUAAUUAGUGAAAGUCAACUAGCAUUAAGAACCAAAAAGUCACCAAAUCCAAGAGGGGUCAAAUGCUUUCACCACCAUGUUGGAGGAAAUGUUUUUAUGAUUGUGUGAAGCAAAAACAACACAAAAAUCAUUUGUUGCUUGCUAAUUUGAGGAUCCUUUACUUAAUCAAGAAAUUAGCCAACUAAUCACCACAAACACAUUUAAACUCAUGAACUAAAACAUACAAGUAGUGAUAAGAUGUUAAAACACAAAACAUUCCCAUAAAGAUUUAAGAACAUGUUCAUGGGUUCUUCAACAUUCAACAAAAGUUCAAAGGAUUAACCAAAAGUCAACCAAGAUUAGUUUAGCCAAGCAUGGCUAAACCCAAAGAAACAAAGUUAGAGAAAAUUGUACCAAACAUUAAGCAAGAAUCAAGAGGUAAAAAUAUGAUGUUCUUCAAGUGUUCUUGGCCUUCAAAAGUCUUCAAAACUCCAGAGAGAAUCUCCAAAAAUCGGAUGUCUAAGAGUCUCCAAAAGAUGGGCACCAACCUUCCUCAAAUAGCUCAAAAGAAGAAUUUCUGAAACUGCCCCUGCAGGAGGUUGCGCGACCCGC
rnacentral:lncRNA from 1 species